CUUUUUUUUUUAACUUACCUUUUGCUUGCUUUUCUACUCCUGCUCCUGUCUCUCGAGGUCCUAGAGCUAGAAGGAAAAGCGCCAUUCCAGCAGCUUUCAAAACAAGAUUGAUAUGAAGUCCUGCACCCAUCCUAACGGAGACAGUAGGGAGAACGUCAAAACAAAACCCAAAAGGAACGGC